AGAGUUUGAUCCUGGCUCAGGACGAACGCUGGCGGCGUGCUUAACACAUGCAAGUCGAGCGAUGAGAUCCCUUCGGGGAAGGAUUAGCGGCGAACGGGUGAGGAACACGUGAAGAAUCUGCCUUCAACUCUGGGAUAACACCGGGAAACCGGUGCUAAUACCGGAUAUGAGCCUUGAUCGCAUGAUCGGGGCUGGAAAGUUUUUCGGUUGAAGAUGACUUCGCGGCCUAUCAGCUUGUUGGUGAGGUAAUGGCUCACCAAGGCGACGACGGGUAGCCGGCCUGAGAGGGCGACCGGCCACACUGGGACUGAGACACGGCCCAGACUCCUACGGGAGGCAGCAGUAGGGAAUAUUGGGCAAUGGGCGAAAGCCUGACCCAGCGACGCCGCGUGAGGGAUGAAGGUCUUCGGAUUGUAAACCUCUUUCAGCAGGGAAGAAGCGAAAGUGACGGUACCUAAAGAAGAAGCACCGGCUAACUAUGUGCCAGCAGCCGCGGUAAUACAUAGGGUGCAAGCGUUGUCCGGAAUUAUUGGGCGUAAAGAGCUCGUAGGUCGUUUGUCGCGUCGAUUGUGAAAAUCUGAGGCUCAACCUCAGACCUGCAGUCGAUACGGGCAAACUAGAGUGUGGUAGGGGAGACUGGAAUUCCUGGUGUAGCGGUGGAAUGCGCAGAUAUCAGGAGGAACACCAAUGGCGAAGGCAGGUCUCUGGGCCAUAACUGACACUGAGGAGCGAAAGUGCGGGGAGCGAACAGGAUUAGAUACCCUGGUAGUCCGCACCGUAAACGGUGGGCACUAGUUGUGGGAACCUUCCACGGUUUCCGCGACGCAGCAA
rnacentral:rRNA from 1 species